rnacentral:rRNA from 1 species
UACGGAGGGUGCAAGCGUUUAAUCGGAAUUACUGGGCGUAAAGCGUGCGUAGGCGGUUCGUUAAGUCUGUUGUGAAAGCCCCGGGCUCAACCUGGGAAUGGCAAUGGAUACUGGCGAGCUAGAGUGUGUCAGAGGAUGGUGGAAUUCCCGGUGUAGCGGUGAAAUGCGUAGAGAUCGGGAGGAACACCAGUGGCGAAGGCGGCGAUCUGGGAAGAUACUGACGCUGAGGUGCGAAAGCGUGGGGAGCAAACAGG